rnacentral:rRNA from 1 species
GGCGCGAAACCUCUGCAAUGCGCGAAAGCGUGACAGGGGAAGUCUGAGUGGCGGAAACUUAGUUUCCGUCUUUUGCCAAGUGUACAUAGCUUGGAGAAUAAGGGUGUGGGCAAGACUGGUGGCAGCCGCCGCGGUAACACCAGCGCCUCGAGUGGUACCCACGAAUAUUGGGCCUAAAGCGUCCGUAGCCGGACUGCUAAGUCCGCUGUGAAAUGUUGGAGCUCAACUCUAACGCGUGCAGUGGAUACUGUCAGUCUUGGGAAUGGGGGAGGGUCGGGGUACUUCCAGGGUAGGGGUAAAAUCCGUUGAGCCUGGAAGGACCACCAGUGGCGAAGGCGCCGAUCCAAAACAUGUCCGACGGUGAGGGACGAAAGCUGGGGGAGCGAACGGGAUUAGAAACCCCUGUAGUCC